CCUACGGGCGGCAGCAGUGGGGAAUAUUGGACAAUGGGGGCAACCCUGAUCCAGCCAUGCCGCGUGUGUGAAGAAGGCCCUCGGGUUGUAAAGCACUUUCAGUGAAGAAGAACGCCUGGUGGUUAAUACCCAUCAGGAAAGACAUCACUCACAGAAGAAGCACCGGCUAACUCCGUGCCAGCAGCCGCGGUAAUACGGAGGGUGCGAGCGUUAAUCGGAAUUACUGGGCGUAAAGCGCGCGUAGGUGGCUUGAUAAGCCGGUUGUGAAAGCCCGGGCUCAACCUGGGAACGGCAUCCGGAACUGUCAAGCUAGAGUGCAGGAGAGGAAGGUAGAAUUCCCGGUGUAGCGGUGAAAUGCGUAGAGAUCGGGAGGAAUACCAGUGGCGAAGGCGGCCUUCUGGACUGACACUGACACUGAGGUGCGAAAGCGUGGGUAGCAAACAGGAUUAGAUACCCUAGUAGUC
rnacentral:rRNA from 1 species